GAUGAACGCUAGCGGCAGGCCUAAUACAUGCAAGUCGAACGGUGUCUUCGGACAUAGUGGCGCACGGGUGCGUAACACGUAUGCAACCUACCUUACAUUGGGGGAUAGCCUUUCGAAAGGGAGAUUAAUACCGCAUAAGACAGUAGCUGGGCAUCCAGCAGCUGUUAAAGAUUUAUCGAUGUAAGCUGGGCAUGCGUCCAAUUAGCUAGUUGGUGAGGUAACGGCUCACCAAGGCAAUGAUUGGUAGGGGAACUGAGAGGUCAAUCCCCCACAAUGGCACUGAGAUACGGGCCAGACGCCGACGGAACGGAGAAGUAAGGAAUAUUGGGCAAUGGACGCAAGUCUGACCCAGCCAUGCAGCGUGCAGGAUGAGGGCGUUAUGCGUUGUAAACUGCUUUUAUACAGGAAGAAACGACUCUUGCGAGGGGCAUUGACGGUACUGUAUGAAUAAGCAUCGGCUAACUCCGUGCCAGCCGCCGCAGUAACAC
rnacentral:rRNA from 1 species